AUACGGAGGGAGCGAGCGUUAAUCGGAAUUACUGGGCGUAAAGCGCGCGUAGGCGGCUUUGUAAGUCGGAUGUGAAAGCCCCGGGCUCAACCUGGGAACUGCAUUCGAAACUGGCAGGCUAGAGUAUAGUAGAGGCAAGUGGAAUUCCGGGUGUAGCGGUGAAAUGCGUAGAUAUCCGGAGGAACAUCAGUGGCGAAGGCGACUUGCUGGACUAAUACUGACGCUGAGGAGCGAAAGCGUGGGGAGCAAACGGGAUUAGAAACCCCAGUAGUCC
rnacentral:rRNA from 1 species